rnacentral:rRNA from 1 species
UACGGGGAGGGCAAGCGUUGUUCGGAUUUACUGGGCGUAAAGGGCGCGUAGGCGGCUGCACAAGUCAGUUGUGAAAUCUCCGGGCUUAACUCGGAACGGUCAAGUGAUACUGUCGGACUAGAGUACAGAAGGGGCAACUGGAAUUCUCGGUGUAGCGGUGAAAUGCGUAGAUAUCGAGAGGAACACCGGUGGCGAAGGCGGCCUUCUGGACAGUGACUGACGCUGAGACGCGAAAGCCAGGGGAGCGAACGGG